rnacentral:misc_RNA from 1 species
UGCGAAGGGGGCUAGCGUUGUUCGGAAUUACUGGGCGUGAAGCGCGUGUAGGCGGUACGGUAAGUCGGAUGUGAAAGCCCCGGGCUCAACCUGGGAACUGCAUCCGAUACUGCCGCACUAGAGUCCCGGAGGGGGUGGUGGAAUUCCCGGUGUAGAGGUGAAAUUCGUAGAUAUCGGGAGGAACACCUGUGGCGAAGGCGACCACCUGGACGGGUACUGACGCUGAGACGCGAAAGCGUGGGGAGCAAACAGG